UGUGUGUAUGUGUGUGUGUGUUCAUAUAUAUAUAUAUAUAUAUAUAUAUAUAUAUAUAUACACACACACAAUUUCAAAUU